rnacentral:rRNA from 1 species
GAUGAACGCUGGCGGCGUGCCUAAUACAUGCAAGUCGAGCGAACAGACGAGGAGCUUGCUCCUCUGACGUUAGCGGCGGACGGGUGAGUAACACGUGGAUAACCUACCUAUAAGACUGGGAUAACUUCGGGAAACCGGAGCUAAUACCGGAUAAUAUAUUGAACCGCAUGGUUCAAUAGUGAAAGACGGUUUUGCUGUCACUUAUAGAUGGAUCCGCGCCGCAUUAGCUAGUUGGUAAGGUAACGGCUUACCAAGCCAACGAUGCGUAGCCGACCUGAGAGGGUGAUGGGCCACACUGGAACUGGAACACGGUCCAAACUCCUACGGGAGGCAGCAGAAGGGAAUCUUCCGCAAUGGGCGAAAGCCUGACGGAGCAACGCCGCGUGAGUGAUGAAGGUCUUCGGAUCGUAAAACUCUGUUAUUAGGGAAGAACAAAUGUGUAAGUAACUAUGCACGUCUUGACGGUACCUAAUCAGAAAGCCACGGCUAACUACGUG